rnacentral:rRNA from 1 species
AAAGCAGGUCAUAGUGAUCCGGUGGUUCUGAAUGGAAGGGCCAUCGCUCAACGGAUAAAAGGUACUCCGGGGAUAACAGGCUGAUACCGCCCAAGAGUUCAUAUCGACGGCGGUGUUUGGCACCUCGAUGUCGGCUCAUCACAUCCUGGGGCUGAAGUAGGUCCCAAGGGUAUGGCUGUUCGCCAUUUAAAGUGGUACGCGAGCUGGGUUUAGAACGUCGUGAGACAGUUCGGUCCCUAUCUGCCGUGGGCGCUGGAGAACUGAGGGGGGCUGCUCCUAGUACGAGAGGACCGGAGUGGACGCAUCACUGGUGUUCGGGUUGUCAUGCCAAUGGCACUGCCCGGUAGCUAAAUGCGGAAGAGAUAAGUGCUGAAAGCAUCUAAGCACGAAACUUGCCCCGAGAUGAGUUCUCCCUGACUCCUUGA